rnacentral:lncRNA from 9 species
CACUCAGGGCCGCGGCUCCCCGAAAAGACUGCCCACUCUUUUCUUGAGAGAGUACUACCGCUCGAAUAAAUCCUCCCUUUGUUUCUUGACCUCCCCAUUUGCUCUGAAUUCUGAGGAGAUAAGAACCUAUCCUCCGAAACCAUCUUUGGCGGAAGGGCUCCUGAGCAGGAAAAUUCGGAAUAUCGCAGAAGUGACAUCUUGCCCUUCUCAGUGCUUCACAACAGGAAGCACCGAUCUCAGUUUGUCUCCUAUGGGGAUGUUUACUUGGAUCAUGACAUCAUUUCUCCUGAUCCUUGUAACACUGUGUGAGAGUCUGGAUCAGUGGUAUUCAAGCCUUUUUGGACAUUAGGAUCAUCCUGGAAACGAAACAGCAACCACAAGCUUGAAGGUCCAGACUUCACCCUCAAAGUGAUGCUUUUCUGAGGAUAGAGGGGCAAGAGAUAUGCAAAAAACCCAGUGAAGAGGUUAUAGCUGUGAAGCAAGCCACUGAGGAUACAAGAGAAAUACCUCUAACUCGGAGACCAAGCUGGAGGGGAUCUGAGGCUUCUCUCCCAUUCCCUUGCUUGCCGUCCUGCAAAAAAUGCUGUUUUCUUCUUCACCACGGAGAAUUCAGAAGAUCAUCUUUGCUGCCGGUACAUUGGCUUUGCUUCGCAGCAGAUUUGGGGGAAUUCAUCAUAAUCUCAGUAAAACACAGGAGAAAACGUUCCAGGCACGUGGACAUCAUUUUUCAUAUGCAUCAUGUUACAGGAAAACAGAAUUGAUGCUGGAAACAUGUCAAAAGGUAAUCACAUUCCUUUCAUGCCUAGACAUCAGUGGGCUGAUGCAUUUCAAUCCUUCCCCAACUCCACUCAAGCCCCUCCACCCAACAUCACUCAGUUCACCCCUCUAAUGACCCCAUGGGCUUUGGUAUGAAUCUCUGGAAUAGUACUUUCCAAACUCUAGCAGGCAUCAGAAUCACCUGGAGUGUUGUUAAAACACAAAUUCCUUAGCCUCACCCCUAGAGAUUUUGAUUCAGUAGGGCUGGAGUGGGACCUCAGAAUUUGCAUUUCCAGCAAGUUCCCAGGUAAUGAUGCAGAUGCUGCCGGUCCUUGGCCCACAUCUUGAAUAUCACUGGUCCUUGAAAGAAAAUCCCAACUAAAUUUGCAGCCAUCUGAGAUUCUUUCCAAUUUUUUUUUCUUUUUUUUUUUUUUUUUUUGCUUUCUUUUUAGGACCGCACCUGUGGCAUAUGGAGGUUCCUUGGCUAGGGGUCAAAUCAGAGCUGCAGCUGCCGGCCUCCGCCACAGCCACAGCAACAUGGGAUCCAAGUCACAUACGUCAACUACACCAUAGCUCACGCCAAUGCCAGAUCCUUAAUCCACUGAGAGAGGCCAGGGAUCAAACCCACAUCUUCAUGGUGGGUCCAUUACCGCUGAGCCACAACAGGAACUCUCUCCAUUCUUUACCUCUGAAUACAGUAUCCAGAGGAGCUUCUGACACCAGAAGCAGACUUGAUAUGCUAUCCCCGACAUUUUUGCUUUGGACUCCCUGGAAAUGAUGUGUUCAAAUUUAGAUAAUACUGCAGAGAAGUUUUUGAAAGUGUAUCAGUUUACAUCACUACAGUAGUGCCUGAUGUGUGAUGCUUCUCCAUCCUGCACAUUCCUACAAACACAUCAUAUUUCCCAUCUUUAUCCAUUCAGCCUUUCUAGCAGGUAUCUCAUGGUUUACUCUAAGUCCUAUGAUUCAUUAAUGCCCCUCUUAUUGUUGUGGAAUCUCUAGGGAUGGAUUCGAGUAAAGAGCCAGAGGCCAUGUUUAAUACUUGGGCUUCUCCAAAGAAACUGAAUCAACAAGAGAUACAUUGAGGAGUUCCCAUCAUGGUGCAGUGGCAAUGAAUCCGACUGGGAACCAUGAGGUUGAGGGUUCAAUCCCUGGCCUCCCUCAGUGGGUUAAGGAUCCGGCAUGUGCCAUGAGCUUGGAUCUGGUGUUGUUGUGGCUCUGGCAUAGGCUGGCAGCAACAGCUCCAAUUAGACUCCUAGCCUGGGAACCUCUGUAUGCCACAGGUGUGGCCCUAAAGACAAAAAAAAAAAAAGAGAGAGAGAGAGAGACAUUGAGAGAGAAUUUACCAUAAGGAAUUGGCACCUGUGAUCAUAGAGGCUGAGUAGUCCUAAGAUCUGCAAUCAGUUUGCUGGAGAACCAGGGAGCUAAUCUAUAGUUUAAGUCUAAAAGCUGGCAGGCUGGAGACCCAAGAACCAAUGCUUCUGUUUUGAGUCUAAAGGUCUGAAAAGACCAAAGCCCUGGCUCAAAAUGGUCAAGUGGGAGGAGUUCCCUUUUAUUUGAGGACACAUCCGCCUUUUUGUUGUGUUCAGUUUUCAAUAGACUGGAUGGAGGCCACUCUGCCUCACUCGGUCAACUGAUUGAAAAAUUCAUCUUAUCCAGAAACAUCCUCAAAGACACACCAAGAAUAAUAUUUGGCCAGAUAUCUGGGCACCUCACUCCCCCAUUAAGUUGACACACAAAAUUCACCGUUACAACAUGACAGCAUGUUAGUUUUCCAUCUUGUCGGCAACCAUUCCUUUCAAAUGCUAUAUUCCAUUGUGAAAUGUAUACACAUGUAUGUAUAUGUGAAUAUAUGUGCACACAUAUGUAGUCAUACUUCAUAUGAAUUUUAAAAUAUCAUUUUGUUUAAAAUUAUAUUUGUAUAUUUCAUCUAUAUUUUUAUAUUUUCUACAGAUCAUUCCCCUUGAUAGAUAGUAUCUUAUUGUAUGAUUGCAU